rnacentral:rRNA from 1 species
GACGAACGCUGGCGGCGUGCUUAACACAUGCAAGUCGAACGGAAAGGCCCUGCUUUUGUGGGGUGCUCGAGUGGCGAACGGGUGAGUAACACGUGAGUAACCUGCUCUUGACUUUGGGAUAACUUCAGGAAACUGGGGCUAAUACCGGAUAGGAGCUCCUGCUGCAUGGUGGGGGUUGGAAAGUUUCGGCGGUUGGGGAUGGACUCGCGGCUUAUCAGCUUGUUGGUGGGGUAGUGGCUUACCAAGGCUUUGACGGGUAGCCGGCCUGAGAGGGUGACCGGCCACAUUGGGACUGAGAUACGGCCCAGACUCCUACGGGAGGCAGCAGUGGGGAAUAUUGCACAAUGGGCGGAAGCCUGAUGCAGCAACGCCGCGUGCGGGAUGACGGCCUUCGGGUUGUAAACCGCUUUCGCCUGUGACGAAGCGUGAGUGACGGUAAUGGGUAAAGAAGCACCGGCCAACUACGUG